AUACGGAGGAUCCGAGCGUUAUCCGGAUUUAUUGGGUUUAAAGGGAGCGUAGGUGGAUUGUUAAGUCAGUUGUGAAAGUUUGCGGCUCAACCGUAAAAUUGCAGUUGAAACUGGUAGUCUUGAGUACAGUAGAGGUGGGCGGAAUUCGUGGUGUAGCGGUGAAAUGCAUAGAUAUGACGAAGAACACCGAUUGCGUAGGCAGCUGACCAGACCGCAAAUGACGCUCAUGCACGAAAGUGCGGGGAUCGAACAGGAUUAGAUACCCUGGUAGUCCGCACAGUAAACGAUGAAUACUUGUUUUCGGCGAUAUAAUGUCGGAGGCAAAGCGAAAGCGAUAAGUAUUCCACCUGGGGAGUACGCCGGCAACGGUGAAACUCAAAUGAAUUGACGGGG
rnacentral:rRNA from 1 species